UCCGGCAAGAAGUGGUUGAUCAAAAGAGUUUCAAAUACUGUAAAUUUCCAGAAAAGUAAUUGAUGAAAAUAAUUUCAAAUAUUGGAAAUUUUCAAUUUUAAUGAAUCGUGGGAGAGAGAAUCAUGGUUAACAAUCGUGGGAAAGAAAGAAUAUGAGAAAAAUAAGAAAGAUGAAAUAUACGGGAUAACAACCGUUGAGAAUGUGGAACAGUGGAAGUGAUAAAUCAUACGUAUGUAUAGGAUAUCUGUUAGCGGGAUGACAAU
rnacentral:lncRNA from 1 species